CUGAUGGGAGCUUUGAGGACCUGUUAGAAACCACGUGGCCCUCGUCUGAUCUCACAGCUCGUCCUUGUUUGGCCUCAGCUGCAUCAGAGCGCCACUUCUCCCCAGGUUCACCAGAGGAAACACCACUGCACAAAAUGCUUUUCCUCCCAGCUGCUGCUCUGUGCUGUCUGUGUUCAGCACUGGUUACCAUGGCAGCAGAACAGCUGAUUCAGGACGAUUUAACAUUGACCAGGAGAGUUGGAGAAAGUGUCUCCUUCAGCUGUGGAGGGACUGAACAGUGUGAUGGUAGCGACUAUCUUCCCUGGUAUCAGAAGAAAGAAAAUGAAACUUUCAAAUUUAUUUUUGUUUUUCACAAAGAUAAUGGUCAAGUCCCAUCAGGCUACGAAAAAGAUGAUUUCUCAUCUGUGAAAAAAGGGAAAGGCUGGGAUUUAGAGAUUAAGAAAGUUAAACUCAAUCAUUCAGCCACCUACUACUGCUCCUGUGUUAAGCUUGAUACUCACAGUGAGAAAUGAUCCCUGCAGCCUGAACAAAAACCAACAGAUGAACAGAUGUCAAACACACUGUAAAAAAGAAAAUGUUGAGAAAACGUAAAAUUUCAAGGCAACAUGAUGCAAGAGAUUUUUGAGUUUUCUCAACUUUUGCCAACUUUUGUUGACUUAACUAAGAUUACCGUUACCGUUACCUGAAUAUUGUAUAUUGUAUAUUGUAUAUUGUAUAGCUUGUACUGUAUUUAUUCAAAUUUUACUUUUUAAUUAUUUUACUUGCAUUUUUAAUCUCUCUCUUAUAUUUAAAUGUUCAUUGCUACUUCUUCUAGGGUUUGAGAGUAACGGAAUUUCUAUUCUCUGUAUGUCCUGUACAUAUGGCAGAAUUGACAAAUAAAGUUGACUUUGACUUUGACUUU